UACCAGCACCCCGAGUGGUCGGGACGUUUAUUGGGCCUAAAGCAUCCGUAGCCGGUUCUACAAGUCUUCCGUUAAAUCCACCUGCUCAACAGAUGGGCUGCGGAAGAUACUAUGGAGCUAGGAGGCGGGAGAGGCAAGCGGUACUCGAUGGGUAGGGGUAAAAUCCGUUGAUCCAUUGAAGACCACCAGUGGCGAAGGCAGCUUGCCAGAACGCGCUCGACGGUGAGGGAUGAAAGCUGGGGGAGCAAACCGG
rnacentral:rRNA from 1 species